AAUUUGGAACCCCAAAUCCAAUUCGCGGCAAGGAAAAUUGUAUCUUCAUUGGUGCCGGCGUUUCUACCGAGAUCGGUGGCCGCCGACAGAAGACAGGCAUCGUCAUCAUCCUCAUCUUCACCAUCUUCUUCUCCCAAAGCCAAUAAGAAAGUCACGGACAAUCGUCUCACUUCCGUGAUUGAUGCCGUCAAUGACCGCAAACUGCCGCCGGAGCUCCGCGGACAGCGCAACAACGUCAGGUGAACAUUACUUUCAAAUAAUUCCGAUUUCUCGGAAAAUAUUCGUUAGAUUGCAUGAAUUCCAUAUUUUUAUUUCCUUUGAUUUUCUGAGCUCACUUAAUUUCUAGAGAUUUACCUGUUGGAUAAUUUGGAUCUGUUUCAUUUGAUUUAUUUGUAUGUAUGUGUGCUUGGCCGCUAUAGAAUUUCUCCAUACUUGUAGGAAUCUGUCUUCCUUUGUAGAAAUUGUUUGCUAAUAGUUGGAAAUUGCAGCUGGUUAGCAUAUUAGUUCAAUUAAUCUGUGACUGAAAAUUCUAGCAAUUUGAGUGACUGAGUACUCUAAUGGAGAAUUAUGUUCACCUUGAAUAUGUAGUAUAUUACCACAUCUAUAUUCGUCAAUGUUACAAUGACAGCAUAACGCAAAGCCAAAUAAUAAGGAAAUAGAACAUGAGAUGAAAUACUAUUUUGCACACAAAGUUCUGUCUUGAUAUAUAUGCUCCAUGCUUAGGUCCAUUGUUUGGUUAUUGUAAAUUGUAAUAACCUUAUUCUGGUUACGAUUCUACACAUAUUUUAGAUGCCUAUUUUUAUCUUAGGAGUUGCUAAACAUUUUCAAUUCGUCAAUCUCUUCUAAAUUUUAGAUUAUAGCUGCUAAAUGAUUUUAUUGUUGAGAGAAUGUCAAUUCUUCAACAUCAAAAUGUUCAUGGCUGAUAUAGCUCUUCCUUUGUAAAUAUUUAGUCAUAAACCGGCUCAUAUUAACUAGUUUUCUGUCUUGGUGGUAAUAAUGUUAGGAGCUCUUAAAUCUAAAGAUUUUAUAGUUAUGUUACUCUGCUCUUUAUUGACUUAAUACAUUUUUUAGGCUUUGGAUUGGCUUGUCAUCUAGGUGUUUUAAUAAUCUCAUACUUGCAUUUCUUUGUGUGGUGGCUCUGGUUUUCUUUUUCUGUCAACUAUCAGAGUUGAGGGGUAUUUCUGAAAUUUUCUAGAAUGUAGUCAUAUCUUGUUUGUGUAGGACUUCUGUUCUAGAAAAAAAUUAGUGCCACUGUCACUCAUUUGAUACGUUGAAUGUUUACAAGCUAAUAUGAUAAUAAUUGUCAGUUACACGUACCAUUACGUAUCUCAAGGAAGUCCUGUUUUCUAUAGCAGUAGCCAUUUUGGGACUCCUCUUAUUUGCUCUGCUCAUUAGUAAUAUGCAGGUAUAUAUCUAAGCUCCAUACCUCAAGUGACUUGCCACAAGGUGAAAAGAUUGCUCUUUCAAAUUUGUUACUCGAAUGCAAACUCAAAUUUAGUUAUAUCAGAGAGAUUCUAGUUACUCGGGGCUGGAAAGUCCAUCGCUGAAAUAAAGAAAACCUUCAAGGUGCGGUCUGCAGGGUCAAGUAUCCCCCCCCAGAAG
rnacentral:lncRNA from 1 species